rnacentral:rRNA from 1 species
AUUGAACGCUGGCGGCAGGCCUAACACAUGCAAGUCGAACGAGUGGCGGACGGGUGAGUAAUGUCUGGGAAACUGCCCGAUGGAGGGGGAUAACUACUGGAAACGGUAGCUAAUCCCGCAUACCAUCGGAUGUGCCCAGAUGGGAUUAGCUAGUAGGUGGGGUAAAGGCUCACCUAGGCGACGAUCCCUAGCUGGUCUGAGAGGAUGAUCAGCCACACGGGGACUGAGACACGGCCCAGACGCCUACGGGAGGCAGCAGUGGGGAAUAUUGCACAAUGGGCGAAAGCCUGAUGCAGCCAUGACGCGUGUAUGAAGAAGGUCUUCGGGUUGUAAAGUACUUUCGUCGGGGAGGCGGUACCCACAGAAGAAGCACCGGCUAACUCCGUGCCAGCAGCCGCGGUAAUUC